rnacentral:rRNA from 1 species
CGGAGGAUCCGAGCGUUAUCCGGAUUUAUUGGGUUUAAAGGGUGCGCAGGCGGAAUAUUAAGUCGGCGGUGAAAGUUUGCAGCUUAACUGUAAAUUGCCGUUGAUACUGGUAUUCUUGAGUGUAUAUGAAGUAGGCGGAAUUUGUAGUGUAGCGGUGAAAUGCAUAGAUAUUACAAGGAACUCCGAUUGCGAAGGCAGCUUACUAAAUACAACUGACGCUUAGGCACGAAGGCGUGGGUAUCAAACAGGAUU